GCGGCUUGUGUUUGUACAGUUCCCGAGUUUCAGCCCAAUGUGGCUUCACAUUAAUCUGGCUCACAUCCACACCAGGAGAGACACGAAGUGAAGCGGCAGGUUAUCCGUUAAGCAGCGGCCGCUCUCCGUCAGAAUGAGCGACGACACGGACUCUCCCCCGGAGAGGGAAAUGAAGGAUUUUCAGUUUCGUCAGAUGAAGAAAGCAAGAGUUUUUGCACCUGCUGGGGAUUUGCAUGAAGAAAGAUCCACUCUGCUCACCCUCUCAAAUAAAUAUGGCUUAUGUUUUGUUGGGCUCAACAGAACAUUCAAAGUUUACCUGACACAUGAUAUACUGGCUGCUGAUAGAGUUGAAGGAACCUCCAAUGAAAUAGUCAAUGGAAUACCAGUGUUGGCAGAGGUGACGGUGGAACUGGCUGUGCACCAAUUGGCUCUCAGUUGUGAUGAACUUACAUUGUCAGUAUGUGGUGUGUCUGAGGGAGGGGGGUUAUUCCUCACUUUCUACGAUGUCCGCACCUUCACUAACAAGGCGAAACAACAGAAGUUACCUUUUGCAUCACUGCAGGCAGCCGUAUCCUCUGGCACUAUGGUGCAGGACCUGAAGUGGAAUCCCGCCCAGGCGUCCACUUUGGCUGUCUGUCUGUCUGACGGCAGCAUGCUGAUUUUGGAUGUUACAGACAGUGUCAAAGUGCAGGCACAGCUACCAGCAUCGAGUGGCAUCACAUGCCUUAGCUGGAGUCCGAAAGGAAAACAAGUCGCUGCAGGAAAAAUGAAUGCCACAGUCAGUCAGUACACACCAGCACUAGAGGAAAAGAAGGUGAUCCCAUGUCCACACUUCUACAGUUCUUCCCCUGAUGAACCGGUCAAAGCUCUGGAUGUGCUCUGGCUGAAAACCUUUGUGUUUGCGGUGGUAUACGCUGCUGCGGAUGGAUCCCUUGAGACCCCUCCCGAGCUUGUGUUGAUCUCCCUCCCUAAAAAGGAUGAGAAGGUGGAGACGAAGCAUCUAAACUUUAGUGACACGGUGUACGGCAGCUGCACUGAACGGCUGCACCACUACUUCCUGAGCCAUGUAGAGGACUGGGACCUUGUGUUUGCGGCAUCAGCAGCUUCCAUUGAGGUCAGCGUCAUAUCCAGACAAGACGACAAGAUAUGGGAACUUUGGAUCCUUGAAGAUGCAAGUCGGGCUGAGCUUCCAGUGACUGGGACAAAUGAAGACACUCUACCGCUCGGCUUCGCCAUAGACUACACCAGCCAGCAGGAUAUCUGGAUCUCUGAAGAGAAGACCUUACCACCAGCGCCCAUAAUGCUCAUCCUAUCCACAGAGGGUUUACUCUGCCCGUUUGCGCUGCUCAACCUCAACCCCGGUGCGAAGCAGCUGGUCUCAGUCCCCAGCCCGCUCCCCCUGGAGGGGGAGAGACUGCCCAAGCUAGGUUCUGUGGCAGCCCAACCACCAAAAGCUGCUGCCUCCUUCCCAUCUGCCCCAGCCGUGUUCCAAAACCUCGGCCUAACAUCAGCAGCUGCUCCCACUCCUGCAGCUCCCGUUGCCUCUUCCGCCGCUGCUCGGUUCAGCUUUGCUACGACAGCUCCUGUGACGACGUCCUCGUCGGCCUUCUCUUUUUCUGUCCCAUCUACCGGCGCCCCCUCAGCCCCUUCAGCUUUCUCCCUGGGGGGAUCCACGCCCUUUGGCUCAGGAUCCUCAGGCUUUUCCUUUGCCUCCAAACCUCCCUCUGAUACUCCCUCAGCACCUUCUGCAUUUUCCAUCAGCACGCCUUCCAUCAAACCGUCAGCGGUAGCAGCUCCACCUCCUCCCAUCGCCUCCCCACUCACAGUGAAAAUGAAUCUGAAUGAGAGGUUUUCAGCAGUGGAGACUCCAGCACAAGCCCCACAGUCUUUGUCCUUCACUUCUCCAAUACCCAAACCAGUUGUCUCCAAUUCCAGUAGUUUGACCGCCCCUCCGCCCGCAGUUGCUAAGCCACCAGCUGUACUAACCCCAGUGCGUCCAGUUCAAACCAGCAUGCUGCCCACAGUUGUCCAGAAACCAACUCCUGCAGCCCAAAGCCGAAUCCAAGCUCCACAGACCCCUGUGGCACCUGUGAGGGCCGUGGAGAAGCAGCCACAGCAAAAGAAAGAGUCGGAUCACAUCAUGGCCGCUAUAUUUGAAGAGAUCGCACACUUCCAGCAGGAGUUGGAUGACCUUAAGGCAAGAAGCGCAAGAGCUGAUUUCAAGGUUGGCACCAACGAGGAGAUGAAGGAGUUGAGGAAGGAGUCAGAGGACCUACAUAUUUUCACGCUGGAGAUCAAGGAAACUACAGAGUCUCUCAAUGGGGAUAUUGGGACUCUGAAGACCACCUUAUUGGAAGGCUUUGCUGGGGCAGAAGAAGCCAGCACCCAGAGUGAGCUGAGCAAAGACGACAAUAACAGACAGCUGCUUUACAAAAAACCUCUGGAUCCGCGCAGUGAGGAACGACUCAAGGAGAUUCGCAGACUGUACCAGUACGUCACAUUUGCUGUGGAAGACGUCAACGAUGUGUUGAAUGUGGAAUGGGAGAAACAUCUGGAGAAGAAGAAAAAGUUGAAACACAUGUCCGUGCCAGGGCGUGAGGGUCUUUUCACAACACUGGCCAACAACCUGUACAUCAUCGAGCAGCAAAAGCACAGGUUGGACCAAUUGGUUAAAGACCUCAGUUCACUGAUGCUCUACAACAAGACGACUACAUCUACUGCAAACCAAAAUACUGCUGCAGCAACAACAGCUGGUUUGGAAAGUGAGCUAGAGAGUUUAAGGGAUGCACUCCUGAAAGCCAGACUGGACACUUCCCCUCCCAAAACCAAAUCCAGAUCUCCAGUCAAGAUCUCACCAGUGAAACAGUCCCAGCUACGCAACUUCCUGUCAAAGGGGCAGAUGCCUCCUGUCCGCUCAACUGCACCAGCCAACCUGUCUCGAUCUGCCUUCCUUUCACCUAAAUACUACGAGGACUUGGAUGAUGUGAGCUCUACCUCCACCAUGUCCCAGUCCCUGGACCCCAACCCGGCUCACUUGGAGCUGGAGGAAGAGGAGGAGGAGGACGAACUACAGCCAGAGCCCCUCCUUGUUAUACCCCAAGCACUUGCCACCCCUCGUCACCCCACCGUCGUGAGGACCCCCUCUAUCCAGCCUGGCUUUGGAGCAAUCCAGUCUACGCCUUUAAACAAAAUUCACCAAUUACAGGCUAUGGGCUUUGGACUCAGCCCUAUUGCCAGCCCUGUUCCAAGCAAUAAGAUCAACCUCAGCGGGCCUGACAGCACGGCUCUUGCCACAAAGACUGUCAAACAUGGAGCCCCAUCGGUUGAGAGGACCGGACCUGUCACCAACCCCGCCCAGCAGGCCGCAGCCACUGCUGCUCUACGCAGGCAGUUUGCCAAUCAGAAGACGGCUGUUGUCGGCGCUUCCUUGACAGAGUCCACUUUGAAGACGGUCCCUCAGGUCCUCAAUAUUCAAGAGCUCAAGGAGAAAGGGUCUCCUGUACCAGUUUCCAAUAUCAUCAGCUCCCCAGGUCCAGAUCCAGCUGCUCAAGUCUUUGCAACAGUUUCCUCCACGCAGGCUAAACGAAAUCCUAACCAAGGCAUCCAGACGAUGUCCGCUGAAAGUACAACCACCCCACAGACAGGCUUUGUGUUCAGUCAUGCAUCCAAACCUGAUGUUUCCGCGGCUCCUGCAAGCUCAGCGGAUCAAAACAGCAGCAAAGGUUUCUCCUUUGCUUCAGGGGCCACAGGCUUCGGUUUUGCUUCAGCUGCACAGGGAGCUGGAAUAUCACAAGCAAAGGAUGUGAGUAAAUUUUCCUUUGGUGGAAAUGGCAAAAUGGGAUUCGGCCAGGCUGGAGACGAAGCAUUCCCCUUCGUCCCAAAGUCCACCUCCCCGGCUCUACGCACGGCCUCGCCCACCCUGCCUCCAAACCCACCGGGAGAAGCAGCCAGACCAACCUCUACCGCUACAGCCCUCAAGGUAGAGCCACAGCCGCCUAAGCCAGUUGGAGGUGAGACACUGGGCAGUUUCUCCGGACUUCGCGUGGGCCAAGGAGAAGAAGCCAAAGAUGCCUCUGCUAAACCUUCUAUUGGCUCGUUUGCCUUCGUGGACAGUGGAGUUGGGAUGGGCAAGGGAGUAGCACAGUUUAGCUUUGGUACAGGUGUCCAAAAGUCUGCAGAAGAUUCCACAGGCAGUUUGUUUAAGCCUCCUGAAUCAGCUAGUAAGCCAGCCUUCGCUGUUCCCCAGUCAGGCUCAGCUACCACAGCUUUACCUACGUCUUUCAGCAGUCUCCUUGUAGAAUCUUCAGACUCCUCAGAGGAACCAAAAGCUACACCCCAACCAUCAGAAGCCACCCCACCCCCUGAAAGAGAAGCAGCUUCUGAAUCCAUUGUAGAGAGCGCCAGUGCCCCAGAAGUACCCGACUCUACAGGGGAGGCUGCCACAAUAGACACCACACCAGCACCAGCAGCACUAACACCCCCACCUCCUUUGGCCACAACUGCCCCUACCCCAGAACCUCCCCCAUUCAUCGCUGCCCCAGCUGAAGCCGCCCCUCCACCACCAUAUGGUGCUGUUCACACAAUCGAAGCCACAGCAGACACCACCAACACUGCUCCUGUGUCCACUUCACCAGCUGCCACCUUCCCUGCUUUGCCGGUCCCCCAGGUUGUACCAGCAGCAUUUCAGGUUCCCUCUUCUGACAAGCCUGGCUCCAUUUUUACUCAGUCUGCUCCUGUAACAACAGACAGCCACACCAUUGGAAUCACAACAGUAAUCAACACAGUUGCCAAUACAGCCACCACUCCCACCCACACAGUUGUGAGCACUGCAACAACUAGUGCUGCUACUGUCUUUGGGCAACCUGUUGCACCUCCAGCUUCCUCAGCCCCCUCAGCUCCAGCAAUCACAGGAUUUGGCUCAUCUGGGUUUGGUGCAUCACCUGGAGCUAAUUUUGGCAAAACUGUAUUUGGCCAGGUGAGUGGCUUUGGCCAGCCCGCCAGUAACACUGUUGCAGCUAGUGGCUUUUCUUUUGGCCAGACAGCCUUUGGAGCAGGCUCUACCAUUGCAACCACUGGAGGAGUAGGAGGGGGAGGAGGAAGUCUUUUUGGUGCUUCUACUACAAGUACCUUCCCGUUUGGCCAAGGCGGUGCCAACACAGACAGCAACACCGGGUCAGGACCGUUUGGACAGAGCACAGCCCCAGCGUUUGGCCAGAGCUCGGGAUUUGGGCAAGGGUCUGUGUUUGGUAGUAACACCACCACGUCUUCGUCGACAGGAUUCAGCUUUGGACAGCCCUCAGGCUUCGGUUGCUCUUCUGCCGCUCCCUCGUUUGGCCAGCAACCGAGCACUGGCAGUGUGUUUGGACAGCAGCAGCAGCAGCAACCAUCAAGUGGGAGUGUGUUUGGUUCAGGUUCAGCCAACCCUGCAGGCCCAUCAGCUGGUGGAGGAUUCUUCAGUGGCCUGGGAGGCAAACCCACUGAGGAGGCUGCCAACAAGAACCCAUUUGGCGCCCCUCCCGCCACCGGAGGAUUUGGCCAGCCUGCUCAGACAGGUGCCAACACUCUGUUUGGGAGUAGUGGUGCCAAGGCCUUUGGUUUUGGACAGACCUCCUUUGGUGAGCAGAAACCCAGUGGGACCUUCAGCACUGGAGGAGGGAGUGUCGCAUCCCAGGGUUUUGGCUCCUUCGCUUCUCCGACAAAACCAGGUGGAUUUGGCAGCGCUCCAGUGUUUGGGAGUCCCCCUGGCUUCGGUAGUUCUCCAGCAUUUGGAGGUGCUGCGUCAUUCGGCGCAAACCCUUCAUUCAACAACAUGGUUUCCUCCGCUGGGAAAGUGUUUGGAGAGGGAACCACGGCCUCCAGCAUGGGAGGAUUUGGGUUUGCCUCACCUCCCCCCGCCCCGUCCUUUGGUGCACUAGCUAAUCAGAACCCUCCGUCAUUUGGGAACUUGGCCCAGCAGGGCUCUGGGUUUGGAGUUCAGCCCAGCAGCUUCUCAGGGUUUGGACAGCAGCCACAGGCAGGAGAACAAGAAAUGAUGUGAGAAAAGUCAUACAACAUAAAAUAGUCAGACAAGCAAUGGAUUCUCUGGGAACACCUUUGGCUCUUCAAACCAAUCAAGCUCACAAACAUUUGCCAGUUGGAGAAGCUAGUUUUAUUUAACCUCCAUGAGCUACAGUACUUCCUGCAAUCAAGUCCUUUGUGCCACACAAUGAGAGGAGAGACAGGGGAAGACUGUGGUGCAUUUGGGUUCAAGGGGUAAAUAAAGUAAAUUAGAAAAUAGUUUUACGCAUAUAUUUUUUUUUUACAGAAACUUAUGUAUGUUUGGAAAAAAACACACAAGAUUUCAACCAGCUUGCAGAGUGUGGCUGAUUAUCUGGUCUUAAUAUUUAUUGGGAAUAAGAAAGUUAAGUAUUUAGAACUUGACGUCAAUACAAACAAGACCAGUCAGUGAGAAGUACCUGGAAAAACAGAUUCUCAGCAAUAUCUUUGACAAAUAGUCAUUUUGAUUUGACCUGUCACAGAAAGUGUAGUAACAUACAUUGAUGUAGUUCCCUGAUUUAAGUAUCAUUGCAUUCAAUGUUCCAGUCAUACUCCUGAGUAAUGUUGCCUUCUGUUCAGCAUUUUAAAAUUGUAAUGUCUUUACUUUGACACAUCACAAUGUACAAAGAGAAAUGUUCAGAAGUAAAACUCUAAACUGUCUUUAAUGGGAUUAUAUAGAAAGGUGUUCACAGCAUCUAAUGUUCCACACAGUGUUAAACAGUAAUUUGUCAAAUGUACACCCAUGAAGAAUAUAUCAAAAUAGAACAUUCUGAGCCUUGCUAAAAAUAAUUGUGAUUUAAUUUAAAAAAAACUAAUAUUUUUGCAGUAAGUCCUCUUUAUGUAUAUUUUUACACAACACAAUAGGAAAUAAAUCAAAUGUCUCAAGGUGUCUCUGCUCUGAACUCCCUUAGUACCACAGCUUAAUUGUGAAUCGUCACAAUAACGACUCAUCAAUUAUGUGUUGUCUUUCCAGUAAAUGUCGCGUUAUGGUUUAAUUUUCUUGCAAAAAAUCGAGGACAAAAGUGAACAUUGUCUAAUCAUGAUGUGACUCAUUCCCUCAUGGGGGACUUCUUAAUGGUCUGGGAAUGAAUUCAAGCAACAGCUGAACGUUUUAAUCACAAACGAAACCUUUUCCAACGCCUUCAUCCUUAUCCUUAUAUCCCUGAGAAAUAAUCUUGCAGAAGGGGAACAUAAUCAUUGUAUUGAUUUUUAUAUGUAAAGCAAAGCAUCUUGAUAUGGUUUGUAUUCGUCCUUCUCAUGGUUAAAAACCCUUCAUGGUAUAUUUGCUUUUUACAAAGGAAAUAAAAUCUGAGAAUUUGCUGUAUAAGCUUUAAUUCGAGAGUGCAUGAAUAGCAUAGCAGUUAGCUGUGGGCUAUGUUGAGAUGGUUCCCUAAUUAAUGCUAAAUCCCUCUUGAUAUGCAGCUUAUUUCUACAUCUUCAGUCAGGGAUUCACUGACUCACCAGCAGCUAAAUUGGGCUGUUGGAGAAAUGCUGAUGGGGAUCUAUGGCUCGUAUCAGAGCUUCGGCGUUGUAACAGCAUGUGGCUGCUAUCAUCAAAAUUACAUUUCCGGCUUAUGGCUGUGGAGCUUGUCACUGUCACUCUGUCCAACCUUAUCUUGCGUCCUUCUCUCUCGUGGAAGGGAAGGCAGAGGUCCCAGUGGCUCUGAAGCAUUAGAAUGUCGGGGUCAUAACGUGACCCAUCGUUGACACCUGCUGAAGUGGUCUCAUCCACAUUCCCCAACAGGCUUUUAUAGAUAUGAGGAGUGGGCUGGAGCUCCUGGCUUUGCCCUGGGAACAUGCUAAUGAAAUUCCAAACAGCAGCAUUAUAGGCUAGAUCACAAAAGUCCCUAUAAUUCUGACAUUAACCAGAUUAAGACAUCAGUCUGAAAAAAACACUGCUAUGCAAACAGCAUUUACUGAUAAUCUUAAGAAUGGCGUACUUGGACAAAUCCCAUCUAUUUUUAAAUAGAGAUUUUUUUUUUUUAAAUAAUUAGCCAUAAUUUUCUAACCAUCCAAGGUAGACUUACCCCAAGGUGCAUGGUUGUGAAACAAUACAAGUCUGUAUGAUAGCAGCUGUGUUUUAAGAAAAGCAUGUUUUAUUCUCAAUAUCAAGGAGAACACAAUAUCCACAAUCCUUAGGUGUAAUAAUGACGGCUGUGAUUGGUGGAUUUACU